UGAGAUUAUUAGAAAGGUUGAA
rnacentral:piRNA from 1 species